UAUAAAAUUUUAAUUGGGAAAAAAAACAGACACAUUAAACCCUAAACCGUAGAGCAAGAGAGCAUAAAUAGCAUCCAUUUUGAUGCCGCCGGUUAUACACGGGCUCGUGAAUUAAGAGCUUCGGAUUCAAUAUGCUUGAGGAAUUUCCUCCUUUUAAUCUAUCGAUUUUGCUUGUCUUCACUUUCUCCUUUUCAAAAUGGGUAAAUAUUCUUUCACAUUGUUUGAAUCUAUGUUUCUGAAGCUAAUAUUUUAUUCUUCUUCUUCUUAGUUCUCUGGGUUUUUUAUAUUAUGUCGAUUAACAUGGAAAUGAUGGGUAAAAAGUAAAAGGUCUGAGCAGGGAGAUUAAUGGUAGUGGUAAUGGAUGUGAAAGUGAGUCUCGAAAGGGAGAGGACCCCUGUCCUUGCUCGAGCUAUUGCAUUGUGACUGUCGCAACCUCUCCUACAGCAAAUGUGCCAUAGCAUGAGCAUUGGCGAUGGGUUGAAAUAAAAGGCGUGGGUUGCUUUCUACUAUUGAAUGCUAACCUAGACUUCUCCCAACAUUUAUUUUGAGCAUUCAUUUGCUGCCACCAUACUUCCUGCAUUGAUCAAACCUUGUAUGCUGAUCCAUGAUCCACCCAGAAUCACUCUAUCUUUCUCUAUUUAUGCAUGCGUGUAUGUGUUUUUGCCAAAUACAUAAAUAUGUUGCUCUCUGUUUCUCUAUUAGAAUAUACUUCCAAAUGCAAAUUAAUUGAUUACGGUUGCUAGAAAAUUGCUGAAACAAAUUCAUUUGCUAAAUAAUGGAGGAAAAAUCCCCACAAUCUGCUUCAAGUUGGAACUCGAAGUGAGUUCAUAUAACUAAGAUGCUUCUUGGAAUUCAUGCUAGUGCUAGCUAGCUAGAUGCUUCCUUCAAGGGCACGUAAAUUGAAGCAUUGUAAAUAAACUUACCUUUUUAUCAGUUCUUAGGCUUAUGUGUAUCUUGUCCUUUUCAGCAAAUAGCUUCUGUUUUCUUGUCUAAAUUCUUAUCCUUAAUUAUCCUAGUAGAAUUCAACAGAUAAAAACUAGUACAUAUUUAAAGCACAAACUGUUUGUUGAUGGAUUCUUGCCGUAGACACAUCACACAUUUUGUUACAAUUUAAACUAAAACAGAAAAGUGCAAAAACAGGGUGUUCCUGGAAUGCCAUCACUAUGGGAUAAGGGUUGACAUAGGAAAGGGUAAGAGGCCAUGAGGUUAUGGUGCAGGUGGAGGAUGCAGCCAAUGGUGGAGUGGUGGAGACCUGUGUAGGCUGUUUGGCUUGUGAUAUAGUACGAGCUUUGUAAAUACAAAGGCUGUUUUAAUAUGUCAGAUUUGUGUGGCUUAAACUUGGUGAUUAUUUUGCUUUUGGUGAUGCAUUUUUUUGGUGCAGUUUUCUUUUGGAUCUAAUAAGAUUGAGCACUAAGGGAAUGAGAUGCAAAUGAUGCCCGACUUAUGCAGCUUGUGUUUUGUUGGCAUUCUUCUAUUGGCUAUACAAUGCUGAAAGCACAUAGCUUUAUGAAAAAGCUUGGAUCAGAAUGAUAGAAGAAUUCUGAUUGGAGCUCAAUAGCUGACCUUCAAUAAUCCAGGCAAAAAGAAUGGUCUAGUGGUCCUAGUUUCUUUUGCCCUUGGUGACUUAGGGAUGUUGCAUUUAUUUAUUUAUGCUGCUCUGAAAUGUGCCUACCAGCUUGGCAUAAAAACAAAUAGCAAAAUUAGGUUAGUGCUAAUAUUUAGGAUAACUUUUUAGGUGUUCUUCUAUGUUUGUGUUAUAGCCUACGAAAGACUAAUCCUUUCAAGUUUCAUAGGUACUUCACUUCUCCCAACAAUACCCUUGAGUUCUCUCUUUGAAAAUGUAGUUGAGAUUAUCAUUGCAUCCAACAUGUAGAUGAAUAUCUUUCAAAGUUUAAUAGAGUGAAUUAAAAAGUUGGGAUUUGCUAAGACAUAAACAUCCAUGACUAAAUUAUUUGGGCGUCCACCUACAUUUAAGAUUUUAUCAUAUAACCCCAUAGAGACAUAAUGGCAAAAGUCUCUGACCGCAGCUCUCUCUAAUUAAAAUAUAUGGGUAACAUUGCAACAUCAACAGAAAUAGAAAGGGUGGGGUUCAUUUUCUUCUGUACAAUGAUAUCUCUAAUUUGGUUGGGGUGAGUAGAACAAGGAAAUAGAACUUCUCAGAGGGUAUUGUAUAUGAGAUAUAUUUAUGUUAUACUUAGCAGGAAAUAAAGUAUUUUAAAUGAAACUAGGCUUUUUACUAAGAUCUCUGCUUGGAGGGCUUUUUGUAGCUUGGAAUUGUGGGGAUGAGGUGAGAAGAGUUAUUUAUUUUAUGAUUCAGCUAUUCUGUCUGUCAAAUUAUGCCUCCCUUUUGAUUUUUCUCUCCAUGCCUUUUAGAAAAACAAUUUGUCAGCCUGGCGCACUUCAGUUACAAGAAAGGAUUAACGUUCUUCAAUUGUUGUCCAAAACGGAAUUUGAGGAGACAAUGAACGAGAUCAUUUGAUUUGAAGCAACUUGAUAAUGAAAGCUUUCAUAGAGACACUUGAAAAAGUAGUCAGACAAGAAUCAGUGUGGUUGUUGCCAAUCAGGAUCAUGAAAUGCCACUCCCAUAUUUGAGCAUUCAGAAUUUUCUGGUUGGCUUGACGCUUUUGGACAAUUGGGUUGGCCUUCAGACAAAAGUUAAAGUGAUUUGACGGACUGUUUCAUAACUUUUGACACUAUUGGAGUCAAUAAUAUGGUAAGAUUAAUGGCUAAUCUGCACCUGGAUUACACUCGUAGAGAAGCUUUAAUCAUAGAUGAGAAGGUUGACAAUUGCAUAAAAAGAACUUUUAAUUUAAUCUCAAAAGGGUGUCCCUUUUGUAAAUAUAAAAAUUAAGCUAUUUUAACACGAUUUGAUGCCGCCCCACUUGUUUUCUAAUUUGCAUACAAGUGAUUGAGAUUGUCCCAUAAUCAUGUUUUGAGUGGCCACUAGUUGACCCCUUGUUACUUUCUCUAUGACCUUUUUUUUUUUU